rnacentral:lncRNA from 1 species
UGCUUUUGACUAUUCGCCACCAAUUAUAACGCAUGUAUAGAAUUGUCUCCCCCUACAACGUUAUGAAACGCGGCACUAUUACAUUUGGCAAUCGCCCCUAUAUCGAGACGUGCGACUCAUUACCGCUCUGACCUAGUGUGCUCGAAUGUGUUUGUAUUUGCCAGUCGCGUUGACCGUGACUCGCAAGAGAAAAUCUUUUGUAACGGAUAAUCACGGAUCAUAAAUCAUAACACGGUAGCGAUAAAAGAAGGCCGCAAGAAUCAGAUGCGAUAUACGUUGCGAAAACACGCGAGAUAAAGAAAAAAACGUUCCUCGGUAACCGAGUUUACACUGAUAGCACAAGCUACCGGGUCACCGGGUGGACAUAGAUGAAGACAUACACCGAUGGGUUUCAUUCGCUACGAAGAUAUAUGCGGAGGAAAGAGACGGAGCGAUUUGCGUCGAGAAAGUUUUCCCCGCUUUUGAAAAACUAAGCGAGACGAAGGCAAAUAAGCGAGACACGAGGGAAAGAUACACAGCGUGAAUCGUACGUGUUUGUAUUACUUCGAUCUUCGGUCGAAUCGCCCGGAAGUCGCUACGAUACUUUCCGUUCCAGGUUCCAGGAAAGUAGUAACAAUGGUGAUCGCAUUGUCAGAAAGUUACGGGGACUUGUCAAAUCGUUUUUGCACUUCGAACUAAUUUUCCACUCCUCCUUUCCCACACCUCCCCCUCCCCCGCCCCAUCUUCAGUUUCCUCUUCCGGUCAAAAACAAAUUUCGUCGUGUCGCAAUGAAACUUCUCACCCUUCCAUUUGGGAAUGAACAAAUGCGACUUUACUUCUUCAGAAAAUAUAUAUUUCUCUUGACACUCUUUGAUAUUAAUAUUUUUACAUCACGUAACACAAAUUUGUUUAAAUUUGCCAUCGAGCGUACAUUCUGAUUAUUCGCAAACGCGAAAUACGUGCAUUUAGAUAUUUCACAUUCGUGAUAUUAUGUCAACAUUACAUAACGCUUUUAAAGAUAGGACGCAUGGAUGCAUUAUGCUCGUGUUUGAGCAUAUUACUUUUGAAAUGGUUGGUUUUUACGAAUACUCUCUCUUUCUCUCUCUCUCUCUCUCUCUCUUCCAUCGAGAGUACUUAUGUCGACAUACUUUAUUAUGUUUCAGUACCACAGUCAUUUAUCUUUUCGCUAAUAUUCAUUUAUCGCAGACAUGUUGCGAGAUUGCUUGCAGAGUGCUUGAUCCCAUCUUUGUGCAUAUAUUUAAAAAUUUAACUUCUUACUUAUGGACUUUAACGCUGACCAUAAAGCUAGAACAAACAUAAACUGCGAUCACAUAGAGAGGGCAGAGGGGGACGUCCUAAAUUUCCCGCUAAAUAAAAAAAAUAUAUUUUGCUUUGUAAAUUGCAAUAUAGUACAUGUGAAAUAUGAGAACGGAUAUUCUGCGGAGAAUAAAAAAAAAAAAUAAUAAUUGGAAAAUAAAUCCCAUAUUUUUAUAGCUUAACAAUAUUUUGUUAUAAAAUGAAUACGAAUCGUGAGUUCUAUUUCAUCUAGAAAAUUUUCGGAUAUUUUUUUCAACGACUUGAAACUCCGAUACGACGUACGCUAAUCCGUAAAGUCAGAGAAUAUUUUUGAUAGCAUUAUCUCUGCAUGCUAUUACGACGUAAAUAUAUCACAAUUCAAAUUACAUGAGCUUCCUUCGUCAUUGUAUUUUUAUCUUUGUAAUACACGAUCUCUCACACAAAAUUCACGUGCCAUUAUAGGUAAAAAAAAAAAAAAAAAAUCGGUAUAAAUGAGGAAAACACGUACUCUAUUACAGAAUUGUUUACAUGCAAACACGAGUUUCUUUGAGUUCACGUGCUCGUAGCGAAUUUCUAAAAAAAAAAAAAA